AGCAGUAGCCACGGGAAAACGGAGGAUCCAAGCGUUAUCCGGAUUUAUUGGGUUUAAAGGGUGCGUAGGUGGCCUGUUAAGUCAGGGGUGAAAGACGGUAGCUCGACUAUCGCAGUGCCCUUGAUACUGAUGGGCUUGAAUGAACUAGAGGUAGGCGGAAUGUGACAAGUAGCGGUGAAAUGCAUAGAUAUGUCACAGAACACCAAUUGCGAAGGCAGCUUACUAUGGUUUUAUUGACACUGAGGCACGAAAGCGUGGGGAUCAAACAGGAUUAGAUACCCCAGUAGUCCCUGUCUCUUAUAC
rnacentral:rRNA from 1 species